rnacentral:lncRNA from 1 species
AAAAAAAUAAUUCUCUCUUGAUUUUUCAUAGCUUUAUCAUUGACAAGUUAAAGUUCUCAAAAACUAUUAAAAAAUAAAUAAGAUUUUAUAAAACUUUUACAAAUUCCUCAAAUCUUGACAAAAAAUCCAAAACAUGACAAGCGAACAUCCUUAAUAUAAAUCAAUUCAUAUGUAUAUGUAUGUCAAGCCUUUUAACAACCUUAUGAUCCACAUAGUUAUAUCAGUAGGAAGUAACAAAUAUAAACGUGCAUUACACAUUUGAAUGUUUAGAUAAAAGUUGAAAUGCAAAUGUAAAAUAUAUUAUACUGUACCAAAAACAGGG